UGGUGACAAUCGAGAAGGAGAUAUACCUGAUCCCAUCCCGAACUCAGAAGUCAAGCCCUUCAUCGCCGAUGGUACUGCGCACAAGAGUGUGGAAGAGUAGGACGUUGCCAGGCU
rnacentral:rRNA from 1 species